GAACAGUUGGCUCAGUGGAAGAACGCUCGCUUUGAACGCGAGAGGUCGCGGGUUUGAGCCUCGCAUCGUUCA